rnacentral:tRNA from 1 species
CCCGGUGUGGUGUAGUUGGGAGCACGGCCGCCCUGACCUUCAUGAUUAUAUUCUUAGGAGUAAUCGGCGCGGCAAGUCUAGGUUCGAUUCCUAGCACCGGGG